rnacentral:tRNA from 1 species
GGGCCGUUAGCUCAGUAGGUAGAGCAUCGGACUUUUAAUCCGAGGGUCGCGCGUUCGAAUCGCGCACGGCUCA